rnacentral:rRNA from 1 species
UUAAGCGACUAAGCGUACACGGUGGAUGCCCUGGCAGUCAGAGGCGAUGAAGGACGUGCUAAUCUGCGAUAAGCGUCGGUAAGGUGAUAUGAACCGUUAUAACCGGCGAUUUCCGAAUGGGGAAACCCAGUGUGUUUCGACACACUAUCAUUAACUGAAUCCAUAGGUUAAUGAGGCGAACCGGGGGAACUGAAACAUCUAAGUACCCCGAGGAAAAGAAAUCAACCGAGAUUCCCCCAGUAGCGGCGAGCGAACGGGGAGCAGCCCAGAGCCUGAAUCAGUAUGUGUGUUAGUGGAAGCGUCUGGAAAGGCGCGCGAUACAGGGUGACAGCCCCGUACACAAAAAUGCACAUGCUGUGAGCUCGAUGAGUAGGGCGGGACACGUGGUAUCCUGUCUGAAUAUGGGGGGACCAUCCUCCAAGGCUAAAUACUCCUGACUGACCGAUAGUGAACCAGUACCGUGAGGGAAAGGCGAAAAGAACCCCGGCGAGGGGAGUGAAAAAGAACCUGAAACCGUGUACGUACAAGCAGUGGGAGCACGCUUAGGCGUGUGACUGCGUACCUUUUGUAUAAUGGGUCAGCGACUUAUAUUCUGUAGCAAGGUUAACCGAAUAGGGGAGCCGAAGGGAAACCGAGUCUUAACUGGGCGUUAAGUUGCAGGGUAUAGACCCGAAACCCGGUGAUCUAGCCAUGGGCAGGUUGAAGGUUGGGUAACACUAACUGGAGGACCGAACCGACUAAUGUUGAAAAAUUAGCGGAUGACUUGUGGCUGGGGGUGAAAGGCCAAUCAAACCGGGAGAUAGCUGGUUCUCCCCGAAAGCUAUUUAGGUAGCGCCUCGUGAAUUCAUCUCCGGGGGUAGAGCACUGUUUCGGCAAGGGGGUCAUCCCGACUUACCAACCCGAUGCAAACUGCGAAUACCGGAGAAUGUUAUCACGGGAGACACACGGCGGGUGCUAACGUCCGUCGUGAAGAGGGAAACAACCCAGACCGCCAGCUAAGGUCCCAAAGUCAUGGUUAAGUGGGAAACGAUGUGGGAAGGCCCAGACAGCCAGGAUGUUGGCUUAGAAGCAGCCAUCAUUUAAAGAAAGCGUAAUAGCUCACUGGUCGAGUCGGCCUGCGCGGAAGAUGUAACGGGGCUAAACCAUGCACCGAAGCUGCGGCAGCGACGCUGAUGCGUUGUUGGGUAGGGGAGCGUUCUGUAAGCCUGCGAAGGUGUGCUGUGAGGCAUGCUGGAGGUAUCAGAAGUGCGAAUGCUGACAUAAGUAACGAUAAAGCGGGUGAAAAGCCCGCUCGCCGGAAGACCAAGGGUUCCUGUCCAACGUUAAUCGGGGCAGGGUGAGUCGACCCCUAAGGCGAGGCCGAAAGGCGUAGUCGAUGGGAAACAGGUUAAUAUUCCUGUACUUGGUGUUACUGCGAAGGGGGGACGGAGAAGGCUAUGUUGGCCGGGCGACGGUUGUCCCGGUUUAAGCGUGUAGGCUGGUUUUCCAGGCAAAUCCGGAAAAUCAAGGCUGAGGCGUGAUGACGAGGCACUACGGUGCUGAAGCAACAAAUGCCCUGCUUCCAGGAAAAGCCUCUAAGCAUCAGGUAACAUCAAAUCGUACCCCAAACCGACACAGGUGGUCAGGUAGAGAAUACCAAGGCGCUUGAGAGAACUCGGGUGAAGGAACUAGGCAAAAUGGUGCCGUAACUUCGGGAGAAGGCACGCUGAUAUGUAGGUGAAGCGACUUGCUCGUGGAGCUGAAAUCAGUCGAAGAUACCAGCUGGCUGCAACUGUUUAUUAAAAACACAGCACUGUGCAAACACGAAAGUGGACGUAUACGGUGUGACGCCUGCCCGGUGCCGGAAGGUUAAUUGAUGGGGUCAGCGCAAGCGAAGCUCUUGAUCGAAGCCCCGGUAAACGGCGGCCGUAACUAUAACGGUCCUAAGGUAGCGAAAUUCCUUGUCGGGUAAGUUCCGACCUGCACGAAUGGCGUAAUGAUGGCCAGGCUGUCUCCACCCGAGACUCAGUGAAAUUGAACUCGCUGUGAAGAUGCAGUGUACCCGCGGCAAGACGGAAAGACCCCGUGAACCUUUACUAUAGCUUGACACUGAACAUUGAGCCUUGAUGUGUAGGAUAGGUGGGAGGCUUUGAAGUGUGGACGCCAGUCUGCAUGGAGCCGACCUUGAAAUACCACCCUUUAAUGUUUGAUGUUCUAACGUUGACCCGUAAUCCGGGUUGCGGACAGUGUCUGGUGGGUAGUUUGACUGGGGCGGUCUCCUCCUAAAGAGUAACGGAGGAGCACGAAGGUUGGCUAAUCCUGGUCGGACAUCAGGAGGUUAGUGCAAUGGCAUAAGCCAGCUUGACUGCGAGCGUGACGGCGCGAGCAGGUGCGAAAGCAGGUCAUAGUGAUCCGGUGGUUCUGAAUGGAAGGGCCAUCGCUCAACGGAUAAAAGGUACUCCGGGGAUAACAGGCUGAUACCGCCCAAGAGUUCAUAUCGACGGCGGUGUUUGGCACCUCGAUGUCGGCUCAUCACAUCCUGGGGCUGAAGUAGGUCCCAAGGGUAUGGCUGUUCGCCAUUUAAAGUGGUACGCGAGCUGGGUUUAGAACGUCGUGAGACAGUUCGGUCCCUAUCUGCCGUGGGCGCUGGAGAACUGAGGGGGGCUGCUCCUAGUACGAGAGGACCGGAGUGGACGCAUCACUGGUGUUCGGGUUGUCAUGCCAAUGGCACUGCCCGGUAGCUAAAUGCGGAAGAGAUAAGUGCUGAAAGCAUCUAAGCACGAAACUUGCCCCGAGAUGAGUUCUCCCUGACCCUUUAAGGGUCCUGAAGGAACGUUGAAGACGACGACGUUGAUAGGCCGGGUGUGUAAGCGCAGCGAUGCGUUGAGCUAACCGGUACUAAUGAACCGUGAGGCUUAACCUU